rnacentral:rRNA from 1 species
GGUUAAGCGACUAAGCGUACACGGUGGAUGCCCUGGCAGUCAGAGGCGAUGAAGGACGUGCUAAUCUGCGAAAAGCGUCGGUAAGGUGAUAUGAACCGUUAUAACCGGCGAUGUCCGAAUGGGGAAACCCAGUGCAAUUCGUUGCACUAUCGUUAACUGAAUACAUAGGUUAACGAGGCGAACCGGGGGAACUGAAACAUCUAAGUACCCCGAGGAAAAGAAAUCAACCGAGAUUCCCCCAGUAGCGGCGAGCGAACGGGGAGCAGCCCAGAGUCUGAAUCAGCUUGUGUGUUAGUGGAACGGUCUGGAAAGUCCGACGGUACAGGGUGAUAGUCCCGUACACCAAAAUGCACAGGUUGUGAACUCGAAGAGUAGGGCGGGACACGUGGUAUCCUGUCUGAAUAUGGGGGGACCAUCCUCCAAGGCUAAAUACUCCUGACUGACCGAUAGUGAACCAGUACCGUGAGGGAAAGGCGAAAAGAACCCCGGCGAGGGGAGUGAAAAAGAACCUGAAACCGUGUACGUACAAGCAGUGGGAGCACCUUCGGGUGUGACUGCGUACCUUUUGUAUAAUGGGUCAGCGACUUAUAUUCUGUAGCAAGGUUAACCGUAUAGGGGAGCCGCAGGGAAACCGAGUCUUAACUGGGCGUUAAGUUGCAGGGUAUAGACCCGAAACCCGGUGAUCUAGCCAUGGGCA